rnacentral:pre_miRNA from 1 species
GGGGGGAGCACCGGAUCCUAGACUGUGUCCCCGGUGCCCUGUUCUCCCGGGCCUGUGCUGUUGGAUUAGCGCUCCCGGCCGCGCAGCCCCCU